rnacentral:pre_miRNA from 1 species
CAUCUACUCCCUCCGUUCCAAAAUAGAUGACUCAACUUUGUACUAACUUUGUAUUAAAGUUAGUACAAAGUUGAGUCAUCUAUUUUGGAACGGAGGGAGUACACA